rnacentral:tRNA from 1 species
GCCGGUUUGGCUCAGUGGAUAGAGUGUCAGCCUGCAGACUGAAGGGUCCCGGGUUUGAUUCCCGGUCAGGGCA